rnacentral:rRNA from 1 species
AUUGAACGCUGGCGGCAGGCCUAACACAUGCAAGUCGAGCGGUAGCACAUAGAGCUUGCUCUCGGGUGACGAGCGGCGGACGGGUGAGUAAUGUCUGGGAAACUGCCUGAUGGAGGGGGAUAACUACUGGAAACGGUAGCUAAUACCGCAUAACGUCCCAAGACCAAAGUGGGGGACCUUCGGGCCUCAUGCCAUCAGAUGUGCCCAGAUGGGAUUAGCUAGUAGGUGGGGUAAUGGCUCACCUAGGCGACGAUCCCUAGCUGGUCUGAGAGGAUGACCAGCCACACUGGAACUGAGACACGGUCCAGACUCCUACGGGAGGCAGCAGUGGGGAAUAUUGCACAAUGGGCGCAAGCCUGAUGCAGCCAUGCCGCGUGUGUGAAGAAGGCUUUCGGGUUGUAAAGCACUUUCAGCGGGGAGGAAGGCGAUAAGGUUAAUAACCUCAUCGAUUGACGUUACCCGCAGAAGAAGCACCGGCUAACUCCGUGCCAGCAGCCGCGGUAAUACCGAGGGUGCAAGCGUUAAUCGGAAUUACUGGGCGUAAAGCGCACGCAAGCGGUCUGUCAAGUCUGAUGUGAAUCCCCGGGCUCAACCUGGGAACUGCAUUCGAAACUGGCAGGCUAGAGUCUUGUAGAGGGGGGUAGAAUUCCAGGUGUAGCGGUGAAAUGCGUAGAGAUCUGGAGGAAUACCGGUGGCGAAGGCGGCCCCCUGGACAAAGACUGACGCUCAGGUGCGAAAGCGUGGGGAGCAAGCAGGAUUAGAUACCCUGGUAGUCCACGCCGUAAACGAUGUCGAUUUGGAGGUUGUGCCCUUGAGGCGUGGCUUCCGGAGCUAACGCGUUAAAUCGACCGCCUGGGGAGUACGGCCGCAAGGUUAAAACUCAAAUGAAUUGACGGGGGCCCGCACAAGCGGUGGAGCAUGUGGUUUAAUUCGAUGCAACGCGAAGAACCUUACCUGGUCUUGACAUCCACAGAACUUUCCAGAGAUGGAUUGGUGCCUUCGGGAACUGUGAGACAGGUGCUGCAUGGCUGUCGUCAGCUCGUGUUGUGAAAUGUUGGGUUAAGUCCCGCAACGAGCGCAACCCUUAUCCUUUGUUGCCAGCGGUCCGGCCGGGAACUCAAAGGAGACUGCCAGUGAUAAACUGGAGGAAGGUGGGGAUGACGUCAAGUCAUCAUGGCCCUUACGACCAGGGCUACACACGUGCUACAAUGGCAUAUACAAAGAGAAGCGACCUCGCGAGAGCAAGCGGACCUCAUAAAGUAUGUCGUAGUCCGGAUUGGAGUCUGCAACUCGACUCCAUGAAGUCGGAAUCGCUAGUAAUCGUAGAUCAGAAUGCUACGGUGAAUACGUUCCCGGGCCU